GAUGAAGAACGUAGCGAAAUGCGAUAAGUAAUGUGAAUUGCAGAAUUCAGUGAAUCAUCGAAUCUUUGAACGCACUUUGCGCCCGUCAGUAUUCUGGCGGGCAUGCCUGUUCGAGCGUCAUUACGCCCCUCAAGUCCCCUGUGGACUUGGUGUUGGGGAUCGGCGAGGCUGGUUUUCCAGCACAGCCGUCCCUUAAAUUAAUUGGCGGUCUCGCCGUGGCCCUCCUCUGCGCAGUAGUAAAACACUCGCAACAGGAGCCCGGCGCGGUCCACUGCCGUAAAACCCCCCAACUUUUUAUAGUUGACCUCGAAUCAGGUAGGACUACCCGCUGAACUUAAGCAUAUCAAUAAGCGGAGGA
rnacentral:misc_RNA from 1 species